UACAGAGGGGGCAAGCGUUGUUCGGAAUUACUGGGCGUAAAGGGCGCGUAGGCGGCCUUCUAAGUCGAACGUGAAAUCCCCAGGCUUAACCUGGGAACUGCAUCUGAUACUGGAUGGCUUGAAUCCGGGAGAGGGAUGCAGAAUUCCAGGUGUAGCGGUGAAAUGCGUAGAUAUCUGGAGGAAUACCGGUGGCGAAGGCGGCAUCCUGGACCGGCAUUGACGCUGAGGAGCGAAAGCUAGGGGAGCAAACGGG
rnacentral:rRNA from 1 species